GACGAACGCUGGCGGCGUGCCUAAUACAUGCAAGUCGAACGCACUCUCGUUUAGAUUGAAGGAGCUUGCUCCUGAUUGAUAAACAUUUGAGUGAGUGGCGGACGGGUGAGUAACACGUGGGUAACCUGCCCUAAAGUGGGGGAUAACAUUUGGAAACAGAUGCUAAUACCGCAUAAAACCUAAACACCGCAUGGUGUAGGGUUGAAAGAUGGUUUCGGCUAUCACUUUAGGAUGGACCCGCGGUGCAUUAGUUAGUUGGUGAGGUAAAGGCUCACCAAGACCGUGAUGCAUAGCCGACCUGAGAGGGUAAUCGGCCACACUGGGACUGAGACACGGCCCAGACUCCUACGGGAGGCAGCAGUAGGGAAUCUUCCACAAUGGACGAAAGUCUGAUGGAGCAACGCCGCGUGAGUGAAGAAGGUUUUCGGAUCGUAAACUCUGUUGUUGGAGAAGAAUGUAUCUGAUAGUAACUGAUCAGGUAGUGACGGUA
rnacentral:rRNA from 1 species